UUCAUAUAAGGAAAAAUAUAUAUAUUUGAAGUAUAUUCCCACUGAUAUUUAAUCAAUAAACUGCUAGCUAGUUGAUUGAAAACAGUUGCACUACCAUAACCAUGCUAGUGAAAAAUGUACCUAGUUAACUUGGUGGUUUGAGGCAAUCAACUUUGUACGAUGUCACCUUUCCUUUUAAUGUUUACAGUCAAUUAUUUUCAUCACACAGUUAUGAUUUGGUUUAUGGUCAAAUCUAGGUGUAUAACUGCUUGGUAGGAUCAAAUGUCGUUGUUCAUAUUGGUGCUUUAUUAAGCUACAUCCAAAUAAACAUCUGGCAAUGUUGUUUUUUGUCUAGCUAACUUUGUUGUGCACAUUAUAAGUUUAUAGUUUCAGAGGAUGAGAGAAGUACACCAGAGCCUCAAACUCAAAAUAACUUAAACGAGAAAAAUCAGUUUUCAAUCAAAGCUCUCCAGGCACUUCAUUCUCUUAAUCUUUUGUGUUGUAAGACAUUGUCAGGAAGGAGGACUUUACAAAGCAGAGAAGCAUUUAGUUCCAAAGAAUAGGGCUGUCAUGAUUUUGAAUUUCUUUUUAAUUUCAGCUUAGAAAAUGAUGCAUUAUGACUGUAUUAUUAUUUUUUUUAGGUGGGUGCAGAACGGGUUGUCAGUAUUAUUUUAUUGCAUAAUCGUUGACGUGAACAGUUGAUGUACAGUCUGCUUUCUUUUUACUUUUCUAUUGUAUUCCAUCUUAUUUUAUGUUCUGCCUAGUGUUACCUUGCACGCAGAAAUGGUAUGACCGUGUGAGCACGUGUGCUUUUGAUUGCAUGCGUCAAAUGUGACAUGUGGCGACACGACAUUCAUGAGUGUAUGUAACAAGAGCAGCAGCAGAACUGUAAUACACAAUAAGGUUACUACUUUACUGGUCAAAACUUGGUGAAAGAAGGAAAAUAACACGAUUUCAACAUUUUUAGACUCAUCCUUAUGGAAACGUGACCAAAUAAUUUGUUAUAACUGUUGGUUUCAUAGCAUUGCUGUUAAUGUGACAGCUGUUCUGAGCAACAUUUUGCCUAUACAAUAAAAGACAUUCACAACACAGAGAACUGUUGUAAAUUACAGACAGUCUGACACUGUAGGUCUUUUUGUUGUGAACAAUAUGAUUAAAUUUCUCCCAGGGCAUGUCAGGGAGUCACAUUCUUCACACAUACUUUUUUUCUACUAAUUUCAAUCUAGCUAUGGGAUCAUUUAUAUUACUUACAGAAUAAUAUUCUGUAAUGUGAAUAAUUGAAUACUCACCCACUCAUAACCAAGUAGGUGCAUUUUAGGGGUAUUUAGGAGGAAACUGGAGAACCCAGAGGAAACCCACAUGGGAACUGGGUGCAGGAGUGGCACCACUACUCCAAAUAUGGUGGGGAAACAUUUUUUUCUGAGAGAAGAGGUACAUCUGUUGUUUGUCUAUAAAAACAUACAAACUAACUAUGUACAGUAUUUUGCUUUGAGCACUAUAUGGAGCCAGGGUCUGAUUAUAGUCUGAUUAUAAAACAAUAACAUGGCACAACACACACUUUUAAUGAACAUCAGAUUACAGUAGUUUGUUUUGACUCCACAUGCUUCAUUUUGCAUUUUUCUCCUCAGGCAGUUAAUAACAGCAAAAAAUUAGUUCACAAAGUUAGAUAGCACAAGUUCUAAAAUAUGUUUUAAAAAUCGAAGACAUGUUCACGUUCUGCAGUAAGCUAUUUGUCACUGGAGUAACGGUCUGUUAUGCUAAACUUUUUUUUCCAGAAAGCCUUACUUACUUUAUUUGAGGGAUGUUCAUUUAAUCGAUUCAGAAUAUGUGUGUAUUAAAAUAUAGAAACAUUAGUGGUACUGAGGCAACACACUAUUAUUAAGCACCACUGAGCAUGCCAAAGCAUGGUUUAUCGUUGAUAGUAGAUAGCCUGUAGUUGAAAUGUCCCGUCCUGUCCCUUAACCCCCCCCGCCCCAGUAGUUUGAAAAGUGACAGCUCGCCCCCAUUGCUCCGGUGGCCUUGACUGGGAGAAUAUGUGAAACUCAGCACAGACAGUAACCCAAGCUCUGUAUUGAACCAGUGAUCUUGGUGCUUUGAGGUGGCAAUGCUACUCACUAUAGCACAAAUAUGAAAAAUAUGUAAAAUAUGUACAGUAUGUGUACAAUUAAAAAAAUGCUCAAGUCUAUCUAGAAGAAAUUGUAUUUAGCUGUGACCUCCUGGACAAUCAAGUCAUAAAUGACUUGCCGUUAAACACACUGACACUGAUGAAAUCAUGAGCAUAGAAUUGCAGGCUAAACUUUCAAAUGCUAUAUCACUCAGAAGGUUAGUGCAUACACCCCUGACAACUCAAGCAACAUGAUCCUUGUCUUCAACUUGCAUUUAUUAAGCAAGUUGCUACUGUGAGUUGUAUUGUGGGAGCAUGUGUAACAUUUGUCUCCCAUUUCUAUCAAUGUAGUGAUGCAGCAUGAGCAAACAAAGAAAACAAACACUUGUUCUUUACUGUCAGACAAGCCGAGUAGUGUAAAACCUGUGUCUCUAACAGAACUGACACCUAGCUCAGCGUGUUUGGAUAGUUCUCUCCUGUUUAUUUUUGUAAUAGUAUUGAUUGUAAUUCCGAUUUAUUCCAGUCAUGUCUGUUGUCAGAGGUCUACUGGAGCUGCCUGUGUAGUGCUUGAAAAAAACCCUCCUGUUUUUGUUGUUGUUGUUGGUUUUAAUCCAUAAUACAGAAGUAUGUUCACUCUUAUUGUACAAUUUCUGUCUUAACCCCCAAACUGGCCAACACAUUUUAAGAUCUUUGAAGCUUGCUGAUUAACACGCUACAUAAAAGUGUCAUCAUAAAACAAGUUUAAGUAAAGGUGGCUUAGGGAAAUAAUGAAUCGCCAUCAGUUAUUAUAGUAAAUCAUUAAUUAAGCUACAGUUGUUUUGAAACUCUAGCAUUAUUUCCUCUUUCCGCUUUGCUCUGGGAUUAGAAAUUGAUAGUCCUGGGUGCCUGGAUUAUAGAUUAUGGAUUAUGUCCACCCUGAGUACCAGUUGCACUUAGAAUUAACAUCCACAUACAGUAAAUGACAUAAAUUUUAACUAUCAGAGCAUGGGAACACACCUUGAAAAGGGCUUUUCCUCAUAGAGUCUCCGUUCUAAACUAAAAUUUAGAAUUAUAAAAAUUUCUCUUUUAAAUUUUACAAUUUUUAUAAAAUUUAUAACCCCAAAUCCAAAAAAGUUGGGACAGUAUGGAAAAUGCAAAAAAAACAACAACAAAAGGGUUAUUUGAAAAUUCAGUUCAUGCUGUACUACAUUGAAAACACAUUAUUAACACAUUAUUUGAUGUUUUACUUUGUGAAUAUAAUUUAUUUUUUAAAAUAUACACUCGUUUAAAAUCUGUAACAUCACCUUUUCUUUUAAUAACACUUAAUAAGCGUUUGGGCGCUGAGUGAAGACACCAGUUGGUUAAGUUUAGCAAGAGGAAUUUUCCCCUAUUAUUCAUUAUGCAUUUCUUCAGCUGCGCAACGGUACAGAAUGCUAGCACCCGCACUCUCUGCUUACGCAACCAUGUGCUUGUAAUCCAGGCAGAAUGUGGUUUGGCGUUGUCCUGUUCUGGAUGGCAGCAUAUGUUGCUCCAAAAUGUGCACAUAUCUUUCUGCAUUAAUGGUGCCGUCACAGAUGUGCAAGUUACCCAUGCCAUGGGCAUUGAUAUACCCCCAUACUAUGACAGACGCUGGCUUUUGGACGACGCUGAUAUCAGCCUCGAUGGUCCUUUUCUUCCUUGGCCCGGAGAACACGAUGGCUGUUUUGAAAUGUUUGAAAUGUUGACCAGAAACACGAUUCCACUGUGAGAGAAGUCGGUGGCGCUUCUGGACAGUGUUGAUGUAUGGCUUCUGCUUUGCAUACUAAAGCCUUAACUUGCAUUUGUGGAUGCAGCAGGGAAUGGUGUUGACGACAAAGGUUUAUCAAAGCCAAAGGUUUCCGGAGCCCAUGUCAGGAAAUCCAUUACAGAUUCAUGACGUUUUUAAGACAGUGACGUCUGAGGGAUCGGAGAUCAUGUGCAUAAAGAAGUGGUUUUCGGCCUUGCCCUUUACGCACUGAGAUUUGACCAGAUUCCUUGAAUCUUUUAAUUAUAUUGUGCACUGUAGAAGGUGAAAUGCCCAAAAUCCUACCGAUUUGUCUUUGGUGAAUGUUGUUCUCAAAUUGUUGGAUUAUUCACUGAUGCGUCUGUUGGCAGAUUGGCAAGCCUUGACCCAUCCUUGCUCUUGAAGGACUAGGCCUUUUUUGGAGGCUUCUUAUAUACUAUGAUUAGACAAUUGCCUCACCUGUUUCACAUAACCUUCUUAUUUCAAUUUGUCACAUUGCUAUUAGUCCUAAUUUGCCCCGUCACAACUUUUUUGGAACAUGUUGCAUGCAUCAAUUUCAAAAUAAACGUUUAUGAUCAAAAAACUAUGCCAUUGAUUAGGUAGAACAUCAAAUACCUCGUCUUUAUACGUUUUUUGUUUAAAUACAAGUCAAAGUACAUUUACAAAUGACUCCUGUCCCAACUUUUUCUGAAUUGGGGUUUAACUACUUAAGUGUACAAUUAUUAUUUAGUUCUUGUAAACCCCCCGCCCCCCCAUUUCAAUCUUAACACCAUUCAUUACUAGUUGUACUAAUAUUAUAAAAGGACUGACAAACAGAAAAGAGUUUCAUCAAAAGCCUAACUGCACAUCAGUUGUUUGUGUUUGAAUCAAUGAGUAUAUGAAAGCUUCUGUCUGUUAUGCUACAGUAUGUGUGUGGGAAAACCGAGAUUGAUUAACACCAGGAGUCCAUUCAGAAUGAUAAAGGGAAUUUACACAGGAAAUUGAAAGACAUAAACAACGGCAUUGAAUUCCCCAUGCCAGACCAACGUCACAAAUGCCACGAAAUGUAACUGAUUGUCUUUUUGAUCCAGAAAAACAGAUCUCAAAGUGUAAUGUGAUGUCUGAAUAAAAUUUAUACCACAGUGCUGUUGAAACCUCUGAGCUGAUGAUUAAUUAAGCAAGAGUUCAGUUAUACUGAAUAUUGGCCCAGCUGUGAUUCAGCAUAGACUGAGUGCUGUAGCUAAUAUUCAGUACAUCAGUUCUAUAAACAAGAAAUUAAUAUAGAGUAACUGACAUUUCAGACACAACAUGGCCAAAUGUUUUGGUUAUUUUUGCUCCACUAGUGGAAAUAGAUCCCGAAAAAGCCACACUCACAUUAUAGCACAUCGGCUAGCUGGCUAUCUAGCUCACACUGAUUUGUACAUCCCAGUUCCACUUCCACAUUCCAGUGCUUCUAGUGUAAUUGACUUUCCUUCUUCCUUUUCAUCUCAUGGGCUUUCAAAUUUUAAGUCAAAAGUUAUAUUAAUGAAUGUGUUGUGUAAUGUAAUGAAAAAUGUUUUGUCCGCUCGUGAUGUCACUAAAUGUACUGUAGUAACAGUUUCAAACUAGGAAGUGUAAUUUUAUGUGGUGCAUGCAGAAUGAUACACACAGUGAAACAACUCAGUGUGGUUAUACUAAAUAUAAGCACUCUUGGAAUGCCACUUGACCAAUUAAAUUAGUGAACUACAAAUAACUGUGGUUAUUAAACAACAGUUGUGACAGUAAUGGCAGUUGUAAUUAAAAUGACAGGUUUAUAUCAAUGUGCUGUUUUAAUGUGUUAUAGUUUCUAUAAUAACAGCUAAUUCACAGAUAAUUCUAUGGCAGACCCUCUACAUAACCUAAUGCUAAUAAUAACUGGAUUAACAAAAUGUGUUUUGUCACAAAACAUAUCAACAAAUUGUUGAUAUGGCAAUGCUUUCUGUAAGUAGACAUUGAUUGGUUGGGUGACCAUACGUCCUCUUUUUCCCGGACAUGGCCUCUUUUUCAGCCUUAAAAAGGCGUCCGGUAGGAUUUCUACAUUUGAGAAAAUGUCCAGGAUUUGGCUUUAGUUUCAUUAUGAUGUGCUUGUGGUCUAAUACUGCAUCAUAUGUGCGCAUAUAUACAUUGCUUUAACCCCUCUCUGUAAUUCCCGCCUUCUCGCACACCAAUUGGUCGAUUAUAAAAGGCCUGCAGCAACUGUUGGCCAAAUUCUUGCCUCUCAACCAUUAGCCUACUCUCAGCGAACGCACGAAGGCGAUGCGCUGUUGUGUACGGCGUCAAACAGUUGCUUGACAAUAGCAGUAAAUGCCAGCUGUCUUGAGUCAAAACAAUCCCCAUGGCAAUAUAAGGCCAUUUCAUGUUUUCACAUUGCUUCAUAUUACAUGGCCAUUCAAAUAUGCAAAUAAUGGUUGAAGAUGCACUUGUGGCAUCUGAUAUUUUAUUUUAUACAAUGGACAAUCAAAAGAAUGUAGGGAAAAAUGUAAAACGUGGGCAGGAUGAGACUAAUUUUAUUUAUACAGGUGCAUCUCAAAAAAUUUGAAUAUCGUGGAAAAGUUAAUUUUUUCCCGUAAUUUAAUUUAAAAAGUGGAACUUUCAUAGAUUCUAGAUUCAUUACACAUAGAGUGAAAUAUUUCAAGCCUUUUUUGUUUUAAUCUUGAUGAUUACGGCUUACAGAUCGUGGAAAUCAAAAUUCCAGUAUCUAAAAUAUUAGAAUAAAUAAUUUAUAAUACAGAAAUUUCGGCCUUCUGAAAAGUAUGUUAAUUUAUGCACUCAAUACUUGCUCGGGGCUUUAAUCCUUUUGCACGAAUUACUGCAUCAAUGCAGCGUGGCAUGGAGGGAAUCAGACUGUGGCACUGUUGAGGUGUUCUGGAAGCCCAGGUUGCUUUGAUAGCGGCCUUCAGCUCGUCUGUAUUGUUGGGUCUGGUGUCUCACAUAGAUUCUCUAUGGGGUUCAGGUCAGGCGAGUUGGCUGGCCAAUCAAGCACAGUAAUACCAUACAGUAAACCAGUUACUAGUAGUUUUAGCACUGUGGGCAGGUACCAAGUCCUGCUGGAAAAGGAAAUCAGCAUCUCCAUAAAGCUUGUCAGCAGAUGGAAGCAUGAAGUUCUAUAAAAUCUCCUGGUAGACGCUGCAUUGACUCUCGACUUGAGAAAACACAGUGGACCAACACCAGCAGAUGACAUGGCCCCCCAAAUCAUCACUGACUGUGGAAACUUCACACUGGACUUUAAGCAACUUGGAUUCUGUGACUCUCCACUCUUCCUCCAGACUCUGAGACCUUGAUUUCCAAAUGAAAUGCAACAUUUACUUUCACCUUCCCCAUGACUGUAGUUGUGUACUGAACCAGACUGAGAGAUUCAAGGCUCAUGAAACCUUUGCAGGUAUUUUGAGUAAUUAGCUGAUUAGAGCUCUUCUCAGGUUGACAUUUCUGUAUUAAAAAUUCUUUAUUCUAAUAUUUUGAGAUACUGCAUUUUUGAUUUCAUGAGCUGUAAGUCCUAAUCUGUCAUGGCCUCCAGGGAUAAUUCCAUCUUUGGCCACAAGAGGGCACUCUGACUGUCAUUGCAGAACUUCUUCUUCUGUUGUCUCCCUCCAUGUCCUGUCUUAACCAUUCUCAUAUGUUUUCAUUUUCCUCAUUGAUUAGUGCUCUAUUUAAGUUCCCUGGGUUUUUUUUUUCUUCUUCAGUUGUUGGAGCAUUGCAUCAAGCCCUGGUAUGUUUGUGGCAAUAUGCUUUCCUGAGUAUCAAGAUGGGAACGUGAAAGGUCCCUAAGGUGGUCUGAUUGGUCCUGUGAAGAUGUGUGCAGAUAGAGAAGCAUUCCCAUUGGUGGCAGCCUGUAGGUAUUAUGGCUGCUCCCCAGACUCAGUCUCCAUGUGUGCUUCCCAUUUUCAGCCCUGAGUCCAGCCAAAAAGAAUGUUAGCUUGAAAGCUACUCCCCACUGUGCCUGCUUAGUCCUGAUAUGCCAUGCACAGGAAAGGAAACUGCUGCUCAUGCCAUCUAAUGAACACAAUAUUUGGACUGUAACUUUAGGGGGAAAAAAAGUCUUGCCUCCUCUGCUUUGUUAAAGAGAUUUUGGUAAAAUGUUUUAAAACUACAUUUUCGUUAACAAUAUUGCAUGUUGAUGUAGUCAGUGUUUAGUGACAUCGGUGUCUUCUAAUCGGAGUUGUGGAAAAUAAGGUCGAUAAACAUUUUUCGUUAAUGAAAUUAACACUAAUGCUGUUUAUUGGAAAAUAAUCAACUUCAGGGUAGUACCAGUAACUCUGCUUUGUGUCAGGCCUCAUCAUAUAAGUGAUUUCUUUUUUUUUUUUUUUUUUUUUUUUUUUUUUUUCUUCAGAUAAACUUCCAAAAGGAUAGCCUAAAUUUUCUUUCACUACAUUAAUUUAAGUAUGUGGGAAUAACUUAAGUGUAAUUUGUGUAUUGUCAAGCCUCUGCCCUUUUUGUUUUCCUGUAUACAGUGGCCAAAAUUCAGUUAUGAUACAAAUAAAUAACUGUGAGUAAACAGAACACAAACCUGUAUACUUUGUCAGUUACACAACUUAAUCUGUCAUGGCUGUUACAGCUACUCCCUAUCCUGAAACACAAUUAAAUGGUGUCAAUACAGAACCAUAGGCUGAACCUGAACAGGACUUUUAAAUUAGAACCUGAAAUGAUUAAAAACCAGUUGGAUUCCUCAACCAAUUUUUUCCUCAAUAUCUAUUUAUUUUUCCAAAGAAGCUUUGUAAAACUUCUUCCUUUUGGA